UUUUUUUUUUUUUUUUUUUUUUUUUUUUUUUUUUUUUUUUUUUUGA
rnacentral:ribozyme from 1 species